CGGUGGAGUAUGUGUUUAAUUCGAUGCAACGCGAAGAACCUUACCUGGUCUUGACAUCCCGGAGACCCUUAGGAAACUAGGGGGUGCUUCCAUCUGGAAGAAUCUGGAGACAGGUGCUGCAUGGCUGUCGUCAGCUCGUGUCGUGAGAUGUUGGGUUAAGUCCCGCAACGAGCGCAACCCUUGCCUUUAGUUGCCAGCAGUUCGGCUGGGCACUCUAAAGGGACUGCCGGUGUUAAACCGGAGGAAGGUGGGGAUGACGUCAAGUCCUCAUGGCCUUUAUGACCAGGGCUACACACGUACUACAAUGGCCGAUACAAAGGGCAGCGACACUGCGAGGUGAAGCCAAUCCCGUAAAAUCGGUCUCAGUCCGGAUUGGAGUCUGCAACUCGACUCCAUGAAGUUGGAAUCGCUAGUAAUCGUGGAUCAGCAUGCCACGGUGAAUACGUUCCCGGGCCUU
rnacentral:rRNA from 1 species